GAGAAAUCUGCUCCUGUACGUUAGUUAUUGAAAAACAACGGACAGCUGCAAAAACAAGUUGAUCUUUUUGUGUUCCUGGAGCCCAGUCAUGAAGGGCCCUCAUGACUAGGCCUCAUGCCAAACAACUCGUUACAAAAGAGCUAGGGUCCCAGGCCGUGCUGAAGCUCCAUGAGACCUUUCCUCGUCUGUGCACAGACUGGCGGCCGACUCUGGAACCCAGAUUGUUGCUUCCCGGUCUAGUGAUCCUUCCUCCAUAGUCUGACUAAUCAGCAGGCUGACCAACAAGCUAAAACUUCCACUAUUACUGCAGACUCAGGCCCAGAAGAACCGGAUUGGCUGCGCUCAUGCAGUGGGUGCAUCUCCAGUGAGGACAUCUAGGCAUCCAGGGAACCAUGGCUUGGGGAGAGCAAAGAGGGAUAUCAUUACCGCAGGAUGUGGUUCACACAACUUUAUCCCAACGCACUACACGCCAACAGUUAAAAACUAAGCCAGUUCCUCAGAGGGUUUUGGGGCACACUCAUAGGGGAAAAAUGCCAGGACAAAUUUGGCAAAUGGACUAUACUUGUCCUUUGCCACUUCUAAAGGGUGCCAAUAUAUAUGUACUUCUGUAGACACCGGCUCAGGGUUCCUAGUAGCCUGCGCUUAUGCUAAUGCUAACCAAACUAACACUAUUAAAACCUUAAACAUCCUAA